CCCCUUUCUAUUCUUCUCUUCUCCCCGAUCUCUCCCGGCGAGGGAGCGUGUGAGUGGGUGCCGGCGAUGGCGGAGACGGCGAGGUGGAGCACGCGUGCGACGACGAGCGCCGAGCGGCUCCAUCUGCGCCGGCUGGGGGGGUGCGCCCGUGGGCAGCACCAAGCCGUGGUCCGGCGAGCGCCGUGCGGCCCGGACCUCGUCGGCGGGGCCUGGCGCGACCGCGAUGGAUGAGAUGGCGGCGAGGCCACUUCCUGUUGAUUCCCGGUGCGAUGCGAAUCUCACCCCUCUCCACCGAUGGUAUUUGCUGCAUGCGACAUGCCACUACUGUCUCGAGUUUUUGACUCGCUCUAUGACAAAAGAACCAGGAGCAUUGAUCCCAUCCGGGUUUGUUUUGAGAGAUUCCUCUUGUCUUGCAUGGAAGCGACCGUUGUACUUUCACAUUGCAAUGUUAGGCCCUUAAUUCUUGUUGUUGCUGUUACAAAAAAAGAUGAUCAUUGAGUAGGAGUACUUACAAUCCCAAUUACCCAUUUGUAUAUCUAUCAUUAUUCUCUUAACGGUACCUUAUCGUUUGAUGAUGAUAUUAUACACUGGUGUUGACAUCUGUUUGAUGUUCACCUUAACCAAGAGUAGAUUUUUUGGGGUACAUAUAUAGAAGAAUCGUUUAUUUUGUCUA